CUAAGGAGCACUUCUCCACGACCCUUCACACAGGUGAAUGUGGUUGUGGCAGAGACCGUUUCGGAAGCAAUCGUCUUCCGGCGGAAGCUCAUGGGUGGAACGCUGACAACCUCUCCCGCGUCAUGGUGCCGGCCGAGUCCGGUGCCGCGGGUGAUAUAUCGACACACUGUUGGGUCCUGAAAGAACAGACGUUCUUUCCAGGCAAAAAAUACGACGAGGCUGAUCUUCAGUCAUACCGGCUUCUUCCCUUUGGGGUUGGGGUGCUGGUGCUGAGUUCGAGGUUGGUCUUGUGUGUUGUUUGAGAACUGCACAGUGGACGCGAGCAUCUUUGUUAGUAAGUGUGUAAGAGCGUAC
rnacentral:misc_RNA from 1 species